rnacentral:tRNA from 1 species
GCCACCUUAGCUCAGCUGGCCAGAGCAAUCGCUUUGUAAGCGAAAGGUCCUGGGUUCGAAUCCCAGAGGUGGCU